rnacentral:rRNA from 1 species
GAUGAACGCUAGCUACAGGCUUAACACAUGCAAGUCGAGGGGAAACGAUAGGGAAAGCUUGCUUUUUCUAGGCGUCGACCGGCGCACGGGUGAGUAACGCGUAUCCAACCUGCCCAUCCCUUGGGGAUAACCUUGCGAAAGUAAGACUAAUACCCAAUGACGUCUCUAGAAGACAUCUGAAGGAGAUUAAAGAUUUAUCGGUGAUGGAUGGGGAUGCGUCUGAUUAGCUUGUUGGCGGGGUAACGGCCCACCAAGGCGACGAUCAGUAGGGGUUCUGAGAGGAAGGUCCCCCACAUUGGAACUGAGACACGGUCCAGACUCCUACGGGAGGCAGCAGUGAGGAAUAUUGGUCAAUGGACGAGAGUCUGAACCAGCCAAGUAGCGUGCAGGAAGACGGCCCUAUGGGUUGUAAACUGCUUUUAUAAGGGAAUAAAGUGAGUCUCGUGAGACUUUUUGCAUGUACCUUAUGAAUAAGGACCGGCUAAUUCCGUGCCAGCCGCCGCAGUAA